AAAAAAAAGAAAAGAAAUUCUUCACCUUCUGUCUCCAAGGAAGACAUUAGUUUUCUCACUGCCCUGACCAAUUCCCUGAGAAGCAGCAACAUGUGGCACCAAAAGGAUGAUAGCCUAUCCAUGACACUGUGAGGCCUUGAAAUUGUUGUUCCUCAAGAUUCCCCAGGACAUGUUUUGUGUCAUGAGUGGCAUGGUGGCAGGAGAAGACCCUUACCAUGAUAGGGAAUUUAUAACCAUAGGGAAAGGCUGCAGGAGGUAACAAAGCAGGAAAUCAACUUGAAUCCACCUGUCACAGGUCAAAUGGAUUCCAGGUAAGUAUUCCUGUCAACCAACAGCCUAAAUUUCCCCACCUGUCUAUUCCUGAGGGUGGGAUCUCUCCCCUUUCCCUGGUCCUGGGACUCCCCUACCCCAACUACUAAGGCCAUGGGCCUAAAAUUUCAAAUGUACA